CCUACGGGGGGCGGCAGUGGGGAAUUUUGCGCAAUGGGGGAAACCCUGACGCAGCAACGCCGCGUGGGUGAUGAAGGCCUUCGGGUCGUAAAGCCCUGUCGGGAGGGAAGAAAUGAUUGAGAGCUAAUACCUCUUGGUCUUGACGGUACCUCCGAAGGAAGCACCGGCUAACUCCGUGCCAGCAGCCCCGGUC
rnacentral:rRNA from 1 species